GACGAACGCUGGCGGCGUGCUUAACACAUGCAAGUCGAACGGAAAGGCCCUGCUUUUGUGGGGUGCUCGAGUGGCGAACGGGUGAGUAACACGUGAGUAACCUGCCCUUGACUUUGGGAUAACUUCAGGAAACUGGGGCUAAUACCGGAUAGGAGCUCCUGCUGCAUGGUGGGGGUUGGAAAGUUUCGGCGGUUGGGGAUGGACUCGCGGCUUAUCAGCUUGUUGGUGGGGUAGUGGCUUACCAAGGCUUUGACGGGUAGCCGGCCUGAGAGGGUGACCGGCCACAUUGGGACUAAGGUACGGCCCAGACUCCUACGGGAGGCAGCAGGGGGGAAUAUGGCACAAUGGGCGGAAGCCUGAUGCAGCAGCGCCGCGUGCGGGAUGACGGCCUUCGGGUUGUAAACCGCUUUCGCCUGUGACGAAGCGUGAGUGACGGUAAUGGGUAAAGAAGCACCGGCUAACUACGUG
rnacentral:rRNA from 1 species